UCUUAGUCUUACAUCGGUGUGUAAGGGAAGAGGAGUUGGCUCAAUUUUGAAGGUUGGUUUUAGGAGGUGUCUGUGAUUUUGGGCUCCUUCUUCCGAUCCCGAAUCAGCUGCCAAUUCCAUGAAUCUUUGAAUCGGGAAGACGUCUGAGUAGCCAUGAAUCUGGAUUUAGGUCCGUUUUCCAGUGAGAGUUUCGACCCGAAGAAAUGGAUCAACUCGGCUUGCCAGACUCGCCAUCCACACGAGUCUUUGGACAAACACCUCGUCGAUUUGGAGAUGAAACUUCAAAUGGUGUCCGAGGAGAUCGCUGCCUCACUCGAGGAGCUCAGUGCCAGUGCUCUUCUUCGCGUUCCUCGUGCUACUCGCGAUGUUAUCCGCUUGCGUGACGACGCUGUUUCUAUCCGAUCUGCUGUCUCUGGGAUCCUCCAGAAGCUUAAGAAGGCAGAGGGAUCCUCCGCAGAAUCUAUUGCUGCCCUUGCAAGAGUUGAUACCGUCAAGCAGAGGAUGGAAGCUGCCUUUGAGACAUUACAGGAUGCUGCUGGGUUGGCUCAAUUAAGUUCAACGGUGGAAGAUGUCUUUGCCAGUGGUGAUCUUCCUCGAGCUGCUGAUACAUUGGCCAACAUGAGACAUUGCUUGUCUGCUGUUGGGGAGGUUGCUGAGUUUGCUAAUGUGAGGAAGCAGCUUGAGGUCUUAGAGGACAGGCUUGAUUCUAUGGUUCAACCUCGUUUAACAGAUGCACUAACAAAUAGAAAGGUUGAUGUUGCUCAAGAUUUGAGGGGAAUUCUGCUUCGAAUUGGAAGAUUCAAAUCUCUAGAGCAGAACUAUACGAAAGUUCACUUGAAGCCUAUGAAGCAACUUUGGGAAGAUUUUGACUCAAAGCAACGAGCACAUAAACUUGCUAAUGAAAAGAGUGAAUUUGAAAGACCGACAACUAAUAAUGAUUUGCAAUCAAGUUUUCCAUCAGUUUCAUUCACCAGUUGGUUGCCAAGUUUCUAUGAUGAAUUGCUACUUUAUCUCGAACAAGAAUGGAAAUGGUGUAUGAUUGCAUUUUCCGACGAUUACAAAAACCUUGUCCCAAAGCUUUUGAUUGAGAUAAUGGCAGUUGUGGGGUCAAGUUUUAUUUCCCGCAUCAAUCUUGCAACUGCAGAUAUUGUUCCUGGAACAUUGGGGAAAGGAAUAUUAGAUGUUUUAUCUGGAGAUAUGCCAAAGGGUGUCAAGAUUCAAACAAAGCAUCUACAUGCACUUAUUGAUCUACAUAAUAUGACCGGAACCUUUGCUAGGAAUAUUCAACAUCUUUUCUCAGAAUCAGAUCUGAAUAUUUUAACAAACACGCUGAAGGCUGUAUAUUUUCCUUUCGAAGCGUUUAAACAAAGGUACGGACAAAUGGAGCGUGCUAUCCUUUCAUCUGAAAUUGCAGAGGUAGAUCUUAGAGGAGCUGUCACUCGUGGUGUGGGAGCCCAAGGGAUUGAGCUUAGUGAAACAGUACGCAGAAUGGAGGAGUCUAUCCCACAAGUUAUUUUGUUUCUUGAAGAAGCUGUUGAGAGGUGCAUUAGCUUUACGGGUGGUUCUGAAGCUGAUGAAAUACUUUUGGCUCUUGAUGAUGUGAUGUUACAGUAUAUUUCUUCACUCCAGGAAACUCUAAAAUCCCUGAGAGUUGUCUGUGGAAUAGAUCAGGGUAGUGAUGGUGUUGGGUUAAAGAAGGAAACCGCCCAGGAAAAGAAGGAUGGAACACGCAAAGUUGACUUGAUGUCAAACGAGGAAGAGUGGUCCAUCGUCCAGGGGACCCUACAGAUACUUACUGUGGCUGAUUGUUUGACUAGCAGGUCUUCUGUAUUUGAAGCUUCUUUGAGAGCUACUCUUGCAAGACUGAGCACAACCUUAUCUGUUUCGGUCUUCGGUUCGAGUUUGGACCAAAAUCAGUCUCACAUAGUCAGUGAUCACAGCAAUAGGGAAGUGACUAUGGUUGGCAGGGCUGUCUUGGACAUGGCAGUUGUUCGGCUUGUUGAGUUUCCCGAGAAGGCAAAAAAGCUCUUCAACCUCUUAGAUCAGUCAAAAGAUCCACGUUUCCAUGCUCUUCCACUCGCAUCUCAGAGAGUUGCAGCAUUUGCGGACAAGGUUAAUGAACUUGUAUAUGAUGUUCUAAUAUCCAAAGUUCGACAACGCCUAAGCGAUGUGUCUCGUUUGGCAAUAUGGUCUUCGGUUGAGGAACCUAGUGCCUUUCCGCUUCCAAUCUUCAGUUCCUACCCCCAGUCUUACGUUACCAGUGUUGGUGAAUAUCUUCUCACUUUACCCCAACAGCUGGAGCCACUUGCUGAGGGUAUCUCUAAUAGCAAUGCCAACAAUGACGAGGCUCAAUUUUUCGCUGCAGAAUGGAUGUGCAAGGUUGCUGAGGGUACCGCUGCGCUUUACACAGAGCAACUGCGCGGCAUACAAUAUGUUACCGAUCGUGGGGCGCAACAGUUGUCUGUCGAUGUCGAGUAUCUGACUAACGUGCUCUCUGCCCUAUCAAUGCAGAUUCCUCCCGCACUUGCAACAUUCCUAACUUGCUUUUCAACUCCAAGAGACCAGCUGAAAGAUCUUCUCAAAUCUGAUUCUGGAAAGGAGCUCGAUCUCCCAACAGCAAACCUUGUAUGUAAGAUGCGGCGUGUCAACUUAGAUUAGCACUUUUUUGACUGAAAUAUCUUUGGCCUUACGAUCAUUAACAUUGAUUAUUGUUAAUAGGUAAUACAAUUAGCUUGCAUUAGACACCAUAUUAGUUUUUCUUAGAUUAGGUAAUUUGUUGGGGUGCUUCCUAACAAGUCGAUAUCUUCAUUUGAACCGGUUUUCAGAAGCUCUCAAAAUAGCCCAUACACACACCUUCAUGAGAUUUCUUCGUUGCUCUGCUUUCUACGUGUCUAUAUUAUAUUAGACAUUAAACUAUAUAAAUUACUCUCU